rnacentral:sRNA from 1 species
UCAGUGGACCGAAAUCUGGCCAGCGGGUGUGUGAGUCUCUGUGGCCGCGGAGGCGCGGAGCUAAGCGGCUCGGAUUAUCCUGGGCAGACCAGGGACUUGACCAGCUAAACACUUCCGUCGGUCCGGGGCGUGGACGGAGCCAGAUCAGCCUCCUGCUCUCCCGAGUCAGGGCCACGGAAAGGCACAAAUCCAUCCGUGCGACUCCUGGUACCCAGACCGGGAGGUCGUCUAGUCACCCGCGGUCCGUGUUGGGUGAGAGCUGAGGAGCCGGCGUCUCUGCCAACGACUCAGCCCCGGGACGGUCAGGAGCCUGGGGUCCUGGUCCCGCACCUGUCUUCGGGCGGACGCAUCCCUCACGGUCUCUCCGCAGCCCGCGGGUCCCGCCCCCGCAGGCAGCGCGCGAACGUGGGCGUGGGGAUGGCCACCAGUUUCCGGACAGCUUCGUGCUGGAUUUGCCAGUUUUUCAGUUGGUCAUAUACAGAAACUCCGUUUCUGAAUUUCCCUGCUGUUCCCUCCCAGCCCCCACUCUUUGCUGUUGCUUAGAAUGCAGAUGUGAUGACUAGAGCCAUCUUAGACUGGGUUGC